rnacentral:sRNA from 1 species
GCUGGGCUUGGUGGCUCACGCCUGUAAUCCCAGGGGCUUGGGAGGCUGAGGCAGGAGAAUCAUGAGUUCAAAGCCAGCCUCAGCAAAAGCAGGCACGAAGCAACUCAGUGAGACCCCUGUCUCUA